GGCCCACACAGUAGAGGAGCAGAAGGAGAACAACUUGGAUGUAUGCAUCAGACCUUGCCCCCUUGAAAAUCCUGAACCAGAGAGUGUGGCAGAUUACAGAUGACUGCAAAUUCAUUGAUAUUCCUCCUGUUGAGAGGUAGGAUCUAUGACUGGCCUAUUACAUUUUGACCUUUAGAGCAUGGUCAAAGUGAUGCUAUGCUAGUUUUAGGACUACAAUUUAAAAGGACUGGUCACAUCUGCUUUGGUUUUUUUUAGAGCCCUGAGUCACCAUUUAAGAAGUCCGACUACCCUGCUGAAGAGAUCACAUGGAGGGGCUCUGAGACUACAGCCUGAGAGCUGUUCCCACCAAGGUGUCAGGCUUGUGACUGAAGCCAUCUUGGAUGUUCCAGACUGGCCCAGGCCUCCAGACCUGGGCUGAAUUACAUCACCAGCUUUCCUGAUUCUUCAGCUUGCAGAUGGCAGAUUAGGGAACUUCUCAGUCUCCAUAAUCAUGUCAGCUGGGGCUCUGCUCUGCAUCUUCCUCCCUCUGGAACCCUAGCUGAGUGAGUGGUCACUAUCUGGAACAUUGCUGGCCAUUGUGACAGAGGGGGCACUGAGCUCUGGAGGGUUUCACACAGCAGGUCCUAAAACCUAGGAAGACUUUUCUGACCUUCCCCUGAAGCAGGCCUAAGACCCUCCUGUGAGAGACCAGGCUGGGCGAUACAGCGAGACCCUGCCUCGAAAACACCAUCACCACCACCACCACAAACAGCAGCAAAACCCCACCCAGGUUUAAUUACUUCUUCAGGUCUUCAUUUUUUUUCAUGUAUAACUUACA
rnacentral:lncRNA from 1 species